AUAGAAUCAAAGCCAGUGCAAACCAAAUUCCAAGACAAAUAAUAAAAAAUUAGCAUUUCUAUUUCUUACUCUUCUUCUUGUUUUGCUUCUUUUUCUUCUUCGGCUGAGCUUCCUCUGCUUCCUCAUCU
rnacentral:ribozyme from 12 species